CUUCGAGGGGUUUUUAUUUCUGCAGUUGAAGCAUCUAGAGGCUUUGUUUCUGGAGAACUGCAAAGCUAGUUUGGAUGCAAAGAAGCCGCAAGCAGACAGGAGACAGGAAGUAGUUCCCGCAGAUUCUCCCGCGAGCAGUCUAAACCAAGACGAUGACGUGGACAGCAGCGUGUUUCAAAGUGCAACGCAAAUCACGUCGCUGCGCCAUCGCCGUCGUUAUUCUCCUACAGGAAGUUCAUUUGAGGGGGAGGAGUCAGAACGAGGGGAGGAGCCCAACCCUGAGCUGUAUGUUU
rnacentral:lncRNA from 1 species